rnacentral:rRNA from 1 species
ACAGCUUACUUACAGACACAGGGAUUGCCCUAGUAACGGCGAGUGAAGCGGCAACAGCUCAAAUUUGAAAUCUGGCUCUUUCAGGGUCCGAGUUGUAAUUUGCAGAGGGCGCUUUGGCGUUGGCAGCGGUCUAAGUUCUUUGGAACAGGACGUCACAGAGGGUGAGAAUCCCGUACGUGGUCGCUAUCCUUCGCCGUGUAAAGCCCCUUCGACGAGUCGAGUUGUUUGGGAAUGCAGCUCUAAAUGGGAGGUAAAUUUCUUCUAAAGCUAAAUACUGGCCAGAGACCGAUAGCGCACAAGUAGAGUGAUCGAAAGAUGAAAAGCACUUUGGAAAGAGAGUCAAAUAGCACGUGAAAUUGUUGAAAGGGAAGCGCUUGCAGCCAGACUUGCCUGUAGUUGCUUAUCCGGACUUUUGUCCGGUGCACUCUUCUGCGGGCAGGCCAGCAUCAGUUUGGGCGGUUGGAUAAAGGUCUCUGUCAUGUACCUCUCUUCGGGGAGGCCUUAUAGGGGAGACGACAUGCAACCAGCCUGGACUGAGGUCCGCGCAUCUGCUAGGAUGCUGGCGUAAUGGCUGUAAGCGGCCCGUCUUGAAACACGGACCAAGGAGUCUAACAUCUAUGCGAGUGUUUGGGUGUCAAGCCCAGACGCGUAAUGAAAGUGAAUGGAGGUGGGAACCCUUUGGGUGCACCAUCGACCGAUCCUGAUGUCUUCGGAAGGAUUUGAGUAAGAGCAUGGCUGUUGGGACCCGAAAGAUGGUGAACUAUGCUUGAAUAGGGUGAAGCCAGAGGAAACUCUGGUGGAGGCUCGCAGCGGUUCUGACGUGCAAAUCGAUCGUCAAAUUUGGGCAUAGGGGCGAAAGACUAAUCGAGCUUGAUGGGCAC